UACGUAGGUGGCAAGCGUUGUCCGGAUUUACUGGGCGUAAAGAGCGCGCAGGCGGUCGUUCAAGUCGCGUGUGAAAGCCCCCGGCUCAACUGGGGAGGGUCACGCGAUACUGAUCGACUCGAAGGCAGGAGAGGGUAGUGGAAUUCCCGGUGUAGUGGUGAAAUGCGUAGAUAUCGGGGAGGAACACCAGUGGCGAAGGCGACUACCUGGCCUGUUCUUGACGCUGAGGCGCGAAAGCUAGGGGAGCAAACGGG
rnacentral:rRNA from 1 species